CGGGGACCACCCUCGAUACCCAACCCAACCUCUAAACACAUACCCUGAUUCGAAUGAAUUUUAAACAUAUAUCAAGAUAAAAUAUUUGUAUAUAUACUGACUUUGGGAUAAGUAUACUUCCUAAACUAACCCAACCAAGUCAAUCCAUCCAAUAACCAACCAAACCAAGAUAAUAACCCAAUUUAUUUAUAUAUAAUCCAAAAGAAAAUGGAAUAAUCAUACAUCAAAUAUAAUCCACCGAUGUCAGCCCCAAUACCAAUGCCAAUGCCAAGGCUGACACCAUUACCAACAC
rnacentral:lncRNA from 1 species